CGUGCCCGGGCCUUGCCGCCAUCCCCAGGACUGUGGGACAGGCCUGGCUCAUGAGAAGCCCCUUCCUGCCCAAGGGAGACUGGGCUCACUCACAUGCUUCAUCCCCCACCCAGGUGGGGCCAUGGGAGGCUUGAGGGGGCUCCAGGCAUCAGCUUUAGGGAUGGGAACCUCCCCAGGGGCUGUCCGUAGGACGCCCAACCCAGGCCUCCCCCGAUUCCACCAACCAAGCCUCGGGGGCACACACUGAGGGAUACCAGCCUCAGUCCUAAGCAGACCCCUUCUCCAUCCCCCAGGUGCCAGGCCUCCCACAGUGGGGGACAGACCCUGCCCCCUCCUGCUGCGGCUCCAAGUGAGCCUGGUGCAGGUCGGUGAGAGGGUGGGACCUUGGUCCAGGCUGCGAAGCAGAGCAGUGGGGGCUGGGAAAGCUCAGGAAAGGCAGAGGAAGCCAGGCCAGGGCCCAGCCGC
rnacentral:lncRNA from 1 species